rnacentral:rRNA from 1 species
ACUAGUUGCCAUUCAUUUGGUUGGGCACUCUAGUGAGACUGCCGGUGACAAACCGGAGGAAGUGGGGAUGACGUCAAGUCCUCAUGGCCCUUAUGGUAGGGCUUCACACGUCAUACAAUGGUCGGUACAGAGGGUUGCCAAGCCGCGAGGUGGAGCCAAUCCCUUAAAGCCGAUCGUAGUCCGGAUCGUAGUCUGCAACUCGACUACGUGAAGUCGGAAUCGCUAGUAAUCGCAGAUCAGCAUGCUGCGGUGAAUACGUUCCCGGGUCUU